AUUGAACGCUGGCGGCGUGCUUAACACAUGCAAGUCGAGCGGUAACAGGCGUAGCAAUACGUGCUGACGAGCGGCGAACGGGUGAGUAAUGCUUCGGAAUCUGCCCAGUAGUGGGGAAUAACCUGGGGAAACUCAGGCUAAUACCGCAUACGAACUAAGGUUGAAAGCAGGGGAUCGCAAGACCUUGCGCUAUUGGAUGAGCCGAAGUCGGAUUAGCUAGUGGCGAGGUAAUGGCUCACCAAGGCGACGAUCCGUAGCUGGUCUGAGAGGACGACCAGCCACACUGGGACUGAGACACGGCCCAGACUCCUACGGGAGGCAGCAGUGGGGAAUUUUGGACAAUGGGGGCGAACCCUGAUCCAGCAAUGCCGCGUGUGUGAAGAAGGCC
rnacentral:rRNA from 1 species